GGGUUUUUUUCCUUUUUCUUUUUCUUUCUUUUUUUUUUUUUAAGACGGAGUAUCGCUCUGUUGCCCGGGCUGGUGUGCAGUGGCGCGAUCUCGGCUCACUGCAAGCUCCGCCUCCUGGGUUCCCGCCAUUCUUCCGCCUCAGCCUUCCAAGUAGCUGGGACUACCGGCGCCCGCCAUCGCGCCCAGCUCAUUUUUUUGUAUUUUUAGUAGAGAGGGGGUUUCACCGUUUUAGCCAGGAUGGUCUCGAUAUCCUGACCUUGUGAUCCGCCCGCCUCGGCCUCUCAAAGUGCUGGGAUUACAGGCGUGAGCCACCGCGCCCGACCUAUUGGUUUCUUUUUUUGACACGGAGUCUCACUCUGCCACCCAGGGUGGAGUGCAGUGAUGCAACGUCUCCCUCUUGGGUUCAAGCAAUUCUCCUGCCUCAGGCUCCCAAGUAGCUGGGAUUACAGAAAACUCUUGAGUUCUCCCUGAAAGGAGACUAAAGAACAAUCCUCUGCAGAUGUGUCUGAAUCCUAAAAUGAACUUAAGUCAAGCAUGAUCCCUAAGGCUGCUCAGGGAGAGAGAACCUAGAAACCUGGCAUGCUGGCAAAAGGAGACCAUCAAGCUUCAGAUGAUCAUGCAACAAAAGUCCCAGCUAGUUCCAGGUGAAGACAACACACCUGGCCUUCAAAAAGCUACUCUGCCUCCACUAGAGAGAACAGGGCGAGAGUUCCAUGAUCCCCAGUAGGUAAGGACUACACCCCAAGCCAGCAUGAAGCAGUUACAGAAAAAGACGACCAUUGAUCCCUCUGCUUCCUAUAAAGAUUUAUGGAUUUAUGGGGAUCACAUCUGUUGGCGGGAGGGUGGGAAAAGGGGCAGGAAAAUAGGGUCUGGAGGCAAGGAACAUAUAAGGCUGAUUUACACUUCAGCUAUGAGAGGAAAUAUCCUCUCCAUAGGACAUACACAGAGUAAAUAACUUUGUAACUUUACUUCAUCCUCUCCAUUUACAUAGGGCAUACCAGAAAUAACCAGUGGAAUCCUCUAGGGGGUAUUUAAACUCCCAAAAAUUCUGUAACGUGGCCUUGGAGCUCCUAUGCUCAGGUCCGCUCACACACUGUGGAGUGUACUUUCAUUUUCAAUAAAUUCCUUU
rnacentral:lncRNA from 1 species